rnacentral:lncRNA from 1 species
ACACCCAUGGCAGGUGGAAGUUCCCCGGCCAGGAAUUGACCCUGAGCCACAGCAGUGACUCGAGCCACAGCAAUGACAACGCCAGGCCCCCAGCCUGCUGAAACACCAGGGCACUCUCUUGCGUUGUUUUUUCAAUUGGAGUCGCUUACCUGACCCUGCUCAGCCUUAGCAUCAGUAGGGAAGAAGCUAGAUGGAAAGACAUCACCUGCGCCAUGAAGUUGAGAAAGACCAGCGGCCUGUGAUGGACUUGAAUCCAUAUUCCCAGGCUCACUGCUCCAUCUGCAGUUACACAGGACCCAGAAAUAUCAUGCCACAAAGCAUGAGACAACAAAUCACCGCAUCACCAUUCUUCGAAAAAUAGACAUAAAAUGUCACCCACGCGUCAUCAGGGUCCCUGCCCCAGGAGGUCUGGGUGGACUUCACCCAUCCCAGCACUAUGGCCCAUGGCUGGCUGGAGCCCUCACUUGAUGUCCGUGCAUCUCUGUCCUCUGGGCCCCUCUGGCCUCACAGGCUGGCCCUGACCGACCCUGAGCCUCAGAACCUGCCUCGCCAGCAGUUUCCCACAGAAACGCCUUCCACAUCAAGUGGUCUGUGCUUUUUUGUUUGCCGUGGGCUAGAGAUGUUGCAUGUCAGAGAAACAGUCGCCCACACGGCACACAAAGAGACCAUCUCCUGAGUGUCCGCACUGCUUCCCCUGCCCCCUCCCCUUCCCCCUGGUGCGGCCAAGCGCUCCCCACCUGAUUCUGGCCCCAGAGUCAGGUCUGUCCUUGGUCCCUUUAAGGUAUAAGCUUCUCCCGUAGUUAAUGCAUGAAGAAAAUCCCUCCCUCUCUGUCUCUCUCUCCCCCUCUCAUUCUCCAUUAUGGACUUUUGGUGAUUCUGAGUUUCUGUCUCAUUUCAUUCAAUACACAGUAGAGCUUAACAGGACUCUUCUUUAGAAAUUGCCUUAAAUAAUUGCCUUAAAUAGGAUUGUUGGGAAACACUGACUAUUUUCAAGUUUCGAUGGGGUCAGGGUCAGGGCUGUCUGAGCAGCGUGGUGGCACCUGGAGGGGAAGCCGCUUGGACAGCCAUGAGCACAGCAGUGCGGGUUGCAAGUUGAAGAUCACGGCCCCUGGCGAGAUGGUCAGCUCUCUUGCCCCUGGAGACAGGUAUUGACGUUCCAAAGGGUAAUGAACCUGAGGACCUUCCUGUUCCCUCUCUUUCUCUCUGGGUUGGGGGCGGGGGGGACGGGGAGCAGAUGGACCCUCAGCUCCUAUAUUAGCUUCAAGAUUCAGUCUUGGAGUCCUUCCCCUGGGGUGCAAGCCCCUAGACAUGCAGAGUCAUCUGGGCCUCACAGCGGUUCCCCGAGGGAAGACGGCCCAUGAGCGACCAGCACGAGGAUGGCUGGGUCAGUAAGUCAACCUUGGAUCCAGAAAGCAUGUGUUUCCUCUCAGGACAAGUAAGACGUCUGGAUGUAAAAACACACAAUGUGGCACGAGGGUAUCCACUUUUUUGCAAUUUGAUAGAAGACGGAUCUCCAAAUUUUGAACUGCAUUGUUUCUUUGGAAACUGUUGACUGAAAGAAUAUGCACAACCUAAAAGUUGAGAGUUAAGUUUUAUUUGGAGCAAAAUGAGGACUUAAGCCCUAGGCGGCAGCAUCUCAAGUAACCCUGAGAAAAGCGCUCCAAGGAAGCGAGGCGGGAGCUGGGAUAUACAGGACAAAGAGCAGGUAGGAACAAAAGACCACUGUUAAUAACAGGAAACCCAGGAGUUCCCAUCGUGCCGCAGUGGAAACAAAUCCAAUUAGGAACCAUGAGGUUUCGGGUUUGAUCCCUGGUCUCACUCAGUGGGUUAAGGAUCUGGUGUUGCCAUGAGCUGGAAUGUAGGCUGCAGACGCAGCUCGGAUCCUGUGUUGCUGUGGCUGUGGUAUAGGCUGGCAACUGUAGCUCCAAUUUGACCCCUACCUGGGGAAGAGAGGUUCGUGAAGAAAAAUCAGGGAAGAAACCAUCAAAAUCUCUGACAAUGUAUUUUCUGGUGAGGCGUCGGGUAUUUCAUUAAAUCUAAGAUACUAACAAUUAUAAGAGGAAUCAUCAUUUUAGGGACCACUAAGAAAAACAGAAACAAGCUGCCAAUUAAACUAUGACAAAAUGCCUUCUGGGACCUCAGAAUUUCCAUUUAGGCUUAUUUAGAUUUAGAUGUUUAUGCUAUAGGGGACACGUUGUGGUGCAUAUUUACAGUCUAACACAUGUGGAUGUCUUUCCAGUUUAGUCUCAUCGAUGUUCGUGCUGCUGACACAGCAAUUUUUUUCUUUUUCUUUUAAAAAAUGCUUGGAUGGUCCUUUCCAUUCAGCAGUUUAAUACUGGAACUUUCUGGAUUUCUCUAGAAGGUGUCAAUGACAGGCUGGCAAGCAACAACUGGGAAUUGAGUUUCUUUUGGUGUUACCUGGACUUUUAGGUUAACUAAAGCAGCCCAUUUGUGGCCUCUCAAACAUACAUUGUACACCUGCUUUAAUCAUUAAAGAAAAUGGUGCAUUGACCAGAAGUGAAGAAUGUCCACCUUAAAAAUAAAGAUGAAAUCCCACCCUUCCUGGGACAGCAAGGCUGGUGCUUCUUCGAUGAUAAGAGUCCUUUCCUGGGUGUCAAAGCCAUACUGAUUGGCUACUAGCUGUCUUUAAAACAAACACAUAAAAAACCCCAAAACGGGAAGGAAUGUAUCCAUGAUUUCUUUAGUGUUCCUCCUCUAACGAGGUAUAAAACCAGCGAAAACCAUGCUUCUCCAGAGCAGUUCCUUAGAGUUCUUGGAGAGGUUUCCCCGGGGAGAGUCAGUCCUCAGUCUGGCUCAGAUAAAACUCUUUUCUAUUCCUAUUAUAGGUGGUUCAUUAGUUACUUCUGUCGACAAUGCCCUGAAAUGUCCAAAUGCAGGGCCGCAAGGACCCACCACUAGAGCAGGAUGGCAGCCAGUCGGUGCACCGAGCACAGCAACCGCACUGGGUCCUCGCGGGGAGCCAGCUCCACGCAGGCUCCUAGCCACCCCGAGGCAGAAGUGGGGACGGCCAGGAACGGGAGCCGGCACCCACCCGGGGACAAGAGACUUCUGGUCGGGGGAGGCUGGGCAGCACUUGGAGGGGAAAACCCUACCUGUGAUUGUUCCAGGCCCCCUCCCUAACCCUCUCAGUGACCCGCGCUGAGCAGGUACGCAGGGGCUGGUGAAUUCAUUCCUUUCACACAGAGGGCCCAAGCAGUGAUUGAAUCGCUGGAAAUUCAGCAGUAAACCCAGCAUGAGCGUCCCCCAGAAAGUGGACUAACUUCUCACAGGGGCCACAGACAGGGGAGCAGAUCCUGAGUCAGUGGGCGGUGAAUAUCUGGAAGUUUCUAGAAGCAGGUGGGGGCGGGCGGGAUUGGGGAAAGAUGAGGGUGGCUGCUGCUGAAAUGAAUUGGCAGGAUAAUGCGCCCCAAUUGCUGGGAGUCCAUCCUCCAUGCUCAUUAAAAUCCACACCUUCCUAUUUUAUCUGAGACUGAGGAUUUCAAAACACACACACACACACACACACACACACACACGCACGUGAACACACACGGGAUCUCUGGAAGCCACCACCUCAAAGCCCUGCCAGGAGCAAACACUCCCUGGUGAGCAUUCAAAGGCAGGCGAUCAAGACGUACAAGAGAUGCAGGAGUUACAGGGAAGGCGCAGUUCUGAUGAGUUAGAACCAGUGUCCCCUGAGACGUGGACUUGCUCCAAGGAGCAGGACAGAAUGACCUCCAGAGUGUUUUUUAAUACACAAUGUUUAUUCUCACUGCAAUGGCAGAGACAAGGCAGUCCUGGAAAGAGAACAGCAUCCAGAGGUCAGCGAAAAUUGCCCGCAGUGGAAAAGCUAUUACCAAAUUUUAAAACACAAUAAAAGAGUUUAAUAAGGUGUCCGGUUUACAAAAUAAAUCCAUAAAAAUCGAUGGCUUUCGUUUUACACCAAUAAUAACCUGGCAGAAAGUGUAAUGGGAGGAAAAUUCCACAUGCAGUCAUGACAAUAAAUAUGAAAUACCCAGGAAUAAUUGCCCUGAGGUGUGCUGAAGUCCACGGUGAGCGCUUUAAAAUUUACUUGCCAAGAAGACACACAUAUCAUGCUCUUCAGAGGGAGCAGAGGAUAUGUAGUUUGAAUUUUCCGUGCUGUGAUUCUCAUUACCCUGGGAUUAAUUUGCUCUGGCAUCUGCAUUCUCCACGAUGCUGUGAACUCCAAGAUGCUGUGUCACUUCCUGCUGUGUUUUAGUACAUGUCCAGGUUCCUGGAUCAUAGCAGGUGCUCAGUAAAUACUGGCUGGCUUAGUGAGUCGAGAUGGAGAGGACCACACAUCCAGGCUGUUUUAAAGGAACCACCAGAGGAUCCAAGAUUGAGCCCUAAAGCCCGAAAGAAUGGCUCCAAACCACAGUGGUUUUAGACAAUUAGAAAUUUAUUUCCCUCACUGUAGUAUUCCCGGAACCUCGGCAAAGAGGGUAGCGAUCAGCCUCUUAGGCAUUAUCCCACCCUGGGGUGAAAGGGACAAAGGACCCAUCCCACAAAAGCAGCCGUUCUCGCGGCCCCAUGAAGCAGUAAGAGCUAGAAGUCCCCCUCAGACUCCUCUGUACUGGGGACCAAUGAGGCUCCUUGGAAUGUUCCAGAGACUUCCUUGGGGAACAGGAAGUGCCUUCAAGGCUUUCGAGUGGCAGUGGAAGGAAACCAUUGUUAUUGGAAACAAAAUCUAAUCUGGUAACUGCAGCCCUGUCUUCUUAGAAGCUGAGGACCAAAACACAAUCCAAACAGCAGUGGAACAAAAUCUCUAGGCCCUCUCCUUCUUGAAGACCUUGAUGAGGAAGAGAGAAGGAGCAACUCUUCAGGCGGACGCCCCACUGCGUAGGGAGGAUCCUGAUGAAUUUCUGGUCUGCGGAGAGGCUCAGCGUCUAGUCUGGGAGUGAAAAACUGGAAAGCACAACUGUUCUGUGUAUUUAAAGGGAGGAAGAUUUGAGGGUUUACUGCAAACAGGGGGUGCAUUGGAGCAGAGGAGAAAGGAGAGAGCAAACUGGUGGAAGAACCAGGAGCCCAGGCUGGUGACAAUGGUCAGAGACUUUAGGAACCAGAAGUCCCAUGGCUCACCUAAGCCAGGCACAGAAACAGAUGGUUCUCAACAUCCAGGAAAGUUGCUGAGCUCCAUGCCUGGAUCUGCAAAAAGGAUAGGAUGCUGCCGAGGGAGGGAAGAGCCAGAGGAGGUCUGAGUUCUGCCAAAGGUCAAACACGAGGUGCAGAAUCCACAGGGAGACUCGGGAAGACAGCCCUCAAAGGAUUCCUCGGUGUGACUUGCAGGGAAGUUCCAAGAAAGCUCCCCUGAUCCAAAGCCACCCCAACGGCAGGUCUGAUGCCCAUGCAGAAGGUGAUAAACACUCUUGCCCAUCCUGCCCAGAGCAGACCACUCACAGAGCUCAAGCCUGGAAGGACUUUUGCAAGAGCCCAAUUCCUUUCCAACCUCAAGCUUGUCCAUAAAUGACCAUGAGAUCAGGGGAGUGGAAGUAUAGCAAGUGAGGACUGAUGAAAAGAACUGGGGGUGUUUGGACUAAAACAAGAAGGACUGGGAGGACGAGAGAACCAUCUCCAAACCAGGAUGGGAAUGGGCUUAUCAUCUAUUAUGAUUCUGGAGGGCGAAACUGAAGUCAGAAGAUAGAAGCAGCAGGAAAAAAUAACUUGGCUCAAGGCAAGGGGGGCGUUCUUGCCGCUUGAGAAAGUGAAAGUGACUUCCUGUGAACAGUGAGAGAAGGGGCAGAGGAGGUGAGAGCCUGACCUCCGGUGCUUGGUGGGGAGUGGUGGGGCACAGUGUCCAAGCUGAAAUGGGGUGAGAUUCUUGGAUGGGAUGCCCUGAUUCUAACCCCCCGCUAAGAUCCCAGCAAUAACACCACCUGCAGAGCCCACCAUGGGAAACGGAGCUGCUCACAGGGCAGGAGGUGGCUCCCUGAAGCUGUGGUGACCCAACACUUUGGGGAUUAUUUCCAGAGUAAGCAUGAGUGUCUGUGAGUGCACGUGGGGACAGCAGGACAGACCCUCAGCAAGGUCUUGCAAUGACCUUCUCAAGUGGGCCUUCCCUGAACAGAGGGGUUUCCAGAACAUCUCCUUGCCUGAGUCACUGACUUAAAGGCAGAGAAUUGGGGAA